AGCGAACGCUGGCGGCAGGCUUAACACAUGCAAGUCGAGCGGGCAUCCUUGUGGUGUCAGCGGCAGACGGGUGAGUAACGCGUGGGAACGUGCCCUUCGGUUCGGAAUAACUCAGGGAAACUUGAGCUAAUACCGGAUACGCCCUUUUGGGGAAAGGUUUACUGCCAAAGGAUCGGCCCGCGUCUGAUUAGCUAGUUGGUGAGGUUAUGGCUCACCAAGGCGACGAUCAGUAGCUGGUCUGAGAGGAUGAUCAGCCACACUGGGACUGAGACACGGCCCAGACUCCUACGGGAGGCAGCAGUGGGGAAUAUUGGACAAUGGGGGCAACCCUGAUCCAGCCAUGCCGCGUGAGUGAUGACGGCCUUAGGGUUGUAAAGCUCUUUUCUCCGGGACGAUAAUGACGGUACCGGAGGAAUAAGCCCCGGCUAACUUCGUG
rnacentral:rRNA from 1 species